UUUUUGAUGACACAAUGUCAAAAAAUAUUUCGACUUCCAGUGGCUGUGGAAUCUUCUGGAAAGGAGGUCAAGACCAUUGCUUUCUUUGUCCCUUGUCCUUGCUAUGGCCAUGACAAUGCUCCUCAGAAGGCAAGACUAUGAAGGUUUUCCCGUUCAGACUUGGCAAAGACGACCCUUGGGAGUAAACCACCAUGUUGCCACCUACUUGGUCCAAACAUGACUUCAAUCUUCAGCCCAUGGUUGCCCUGUUUCUCUCUCUCCUCCGAGGUGCCUGACUGCUUCAACAGUGUGCCUUCCGCCUGCCUCCAACAGCCAGCUCCUUUGCCUUCAGGGUCCAGGGACCACAUUCAAGUCAAGAAGCUCCACGGUGAGCGCAUUACGCCCUCCUCCAUGACUGCUUCCACGGUCUGUUUUGGUGAAUCUGAGUUGGCUCUUAAUGAUUCCAUACACCUUAUAACUGCUCACACUAUUUAAUUUUUUUCCCAGUUGAUGGCUGAAACUGAUAUCAAACUCAUUGCUUUGCAGUUUUUGAGAUUCAAUCCUUCUUCAUUUUGAAAAGUUAAAAAAGUCCACCUCCCAGAC